UGGCGAACGGGUGAGUAACACGUGGGUGAUCUGCCCUGCACUCUGGGAUAAGCCUGGGAAACUGGGUCUAAUACCGGAUAUGACCAACUGUCGCAUGGUGGUUGGUGGAAAGCUUUUGCGGUGUGGGAUGGGCCCGCGGCCUAUCAGCUUGUUGGUGGGGUAAUGGCCUACCAAGGCGACGACGGGUAGCCGACCUGAGAGGGUGAUCGGCCACACUGGGACUGAGACACGGCCCAGACUCCUACGGGAGGCAGCAGUGGGGAAUAUUGCACAAUGGGCGCAAGCCUGAUGCAGCGACGCCGCGUGAGGGAUGACGGCCUUCGGGUUGUAAACCUCUUUCACCAGGGACGAAGCGUGAGUGACGGUACCUGGAGAAGAAGCACCGGCCAACUACGUGCCAGCAGCCGCGGUAAUACGUAGGGUGCGAGCGUUGUCCGGAAUUACUGGGCGUAAAGAGCUCGUAGGCGGUUUGUCGCGUCGUCUGUGAAAUUCUGCAACUCAAUUGCAGGCGUGCAGGCGAUACGGGCAGACUUGAGUACUACAGGGGAGACUGGAAUUCCUGGUGUAGCGGUGAAAUGCGCAGAUAUCAGGAGGAACACCGGUGGCGAAGGCGGGUCUCUGGGUAGUAACUGACGCUGAGG
rnacentral:rRNA from 1 species